ACUCCGUGAAGUCGGAAUCGCUAGUAAUCGCAAAUCAGAAUGUUGCGGUGAAUACGUUCCCGGGCCUUGUACACACCGCCCGUCACACCAUGGGAGUGGGUUGCACCAGAAGUAGAUAGCUUAACCUUCGGGAGGGCGUUUACCACGGUGUGAUUCAUGACUGGGGUGAAGUCGUAACAAGGUAACCCUAGGGGAACCUGGGGUUGGAUCACCUCCUUACCUUAA
rnacentral:rRNA from 1 species